UACGUAGGGUGCGAGCGUUGUCCGGAAUUAUUGGGCGUAAAGAGCUCGUAGGCGGUUUGUCGCGUCGGAUGUGAAAGCCCGGGGGCUUAACUCCGGGUCUGCAUUCGAUACGGGCAGGCUAGAGUUCGGUAGGGGAGAUCGGAAUUCCUGGUGUAGCGGUGAAAUGCGCAGAUAUCAGGAGGAACACCGGUGGCGAAGGCGGAUCUCUGGGCCGAUACUGACGCUGAGGAGCGAAAGCGUGGGGAGCGAACAGG
rnacentral:rRNA from 1 species